CAUGGGUCAGGAUGAACGCUAGCUACAGGCUUAACACAUGCCUGUCGAGGGGCAGCAUGAACUUAGCUUGCUAAGUUUGAUGGCGACCGGCGCACGGGUGAGUAACACGUAUCCAACCUGCCGAUGACUCGGGGAUAGCCUUUCGAAAGAAAGAUUAAUACCCGAUGGCAUAGUUCUUCCGCAUGGUAGAACUAUUAAAGAAUUUCGGUCAUCGAUGGGGAUGCGUUCCAUUAGGUUGUUGGCGGGGUAACGGCCCACCAAGCCUUCGAUGGAUAGGGGUUCUGAGAGGAAGGUCCCCCACAUUGGAACUGAGACACGGUCCAAACUCCUACGGGAGGCAGCAGUGAGGAAUAUUGGUCAAUGGACGAGAGUCUGAACCAGCCAAGUAGCGUGAAGGAUGACAGCCCUAUGGGUUGUAAACUUCUUUUAUACGGGAAUAAAGUGAGGCACGUGUGCCUUUUUGUAUGUACCGUAUGAAUAAGGAUCGGCUAACUCCGUGCCAGCAGCCGCGGUAAUACGGAGGAUCCGAGCGUUAUCCGGAUUUAUUGGGUUUAAAGGGAGCGUAGGCGGACGCUUAAGUCAGUUGUGAAAGUUUGCGGCUCAACCGUAAAAUUGCAGUUGAUACUGGGUGUCUUGAGUACAGUAGAGGCAGGCGGAAUUCGUGGUGUAGCGGUGAAAUGCUUAGAUAUCACGAAGAACUCCGAUUGCGAAGGCAGCUUGCUGGACUGUAACUGACGCUGAUGCUCGAAAGUGUGGGUAUCAAACAGGAUUAGAUACCCUGGUAGUCCACACAGUA
rnacentral:rRNA from 1 species